AUUUUCUCUCUAUCUAUUGUUAGCAUAGUGGAAGCAUUUCGUAGGUUCAUUGUCUCAAUGUAUUUGUUUACUAUGUGCUGAUAUUUAUGCAUAUUGUAAAAUAUUAUUUGUGCUCAAAGAGACUGAUUAAAAAUUUCUCUGAAAGUGUUACAUCAAGGGAGCAAGAUUAGACUAACUUUUUGGCUUCGCUUGAAUAGUUUAAAUUUUAUAACUGAGGGAGUAGGAGUGCCGCUGUCACUUUCUUACAACAUUUUAACUCUUUACCGUUUAAGAGGAGAGUUUUUACAACUAGAAUAUUUGCACUACUAUUAUAAUGAGAAGCAGAUGUAUGUCUCCAAAUACUUGACCAAAAAAAAUCAUAUCAGAUCUUUUUUAAUUAGUUUUACUUACAAAAUCAGCAAAUGCCCCUUGUAUACUAAUCAUCUACCGUUCUUACCCUUUUGUAUUACUUCUUUGAUCUGAUUUAAUUAUAUCGUUUUAAUUUAAUGUUUAUAACGGCAGAAGCAUUUUCCUCUGGUACCAUUAGUCUCUUGUUCUGUCGAUUUUUAUUUAUUUGUAAAUCACAAGGUCUCUAAUGAUGUAAUUGUUCUCUAACAUUUUCUGGAAAAUUUAGUUUACUUUCAAUGUGCCUUAGACUGUUGUAAAUUGCCGUCUCUUAGCCACAUGUUCGCUCAUGAUACCUGCUAGAGCUCUCGCACGCCAUCUUAUGGCGAAAGAGUUUCUACAGGUGUAAUUUAAAGAAAUAACUGGUCACAAUAAAAACCUUAGAGUAUCUGCAUUUUGAGCUUUGUCCCCCAGGUUUUAAAUCUAAUCAAGCCACAUGUUCACAAUUUAAUAAUGUUGCUGGCAAUAUCUGGCCAGUGUUAGGAAAAGAUAUCAAAUUGUAUUUGACGAGGGGAAAACAACUCUUUCAGAAAACCGAAGGUCUAUUUUUGCAAUGAGCCAAUUUUUGUUUCCCAAAAAAAAUUGUUUCCUUCUUUCCCAAUGUUAACCAAGCGCUGCCAUUUUCUCAGUCAAAAUCAAUCCUGCCAAGUGUCUGGAUGAUCGCUAAUUAUUGAAUUAUUUAAUUUCAGAGAAACUUUAGCAGAAAGUAUCAUAAAAUACAUGAGUCUCUGAAGGCUUGUUCCUUGUUUCCUCUGUCUCAAACCCAUUAUAAUGUUUUUUCCCCGUACCAAGUCAUUACUUAAUGUAUAUAAUUCUAAUCUGAAGAGAUUAUCAUUGGAUGCACAAAUAGACAUUUUCUCAAGUUUUUAGAAAUGAUAACAAUCCCUUUUCUUCAAAAAGUGAAAUUUAACAAGUAAUUUGUAACAUUUCUUCACACCUUAAUGCAUGUUAUUAUCGUUUCAUGAUUGAUCUUGAAUAUUUAGGUAAAUACCUUAUGAAUUUGUUGCAAUAUUUGUAUUUUAGGUACAGUUAAUUUUUGUAAUUGUUUUUAUUCUUAACAAAAAUUUUAAGUAUCUGAAAAGAGUGUACAAUAAAAUAACCUAUUUUUUAUUCUUGUGAUUCUUAAUUUUCCUUAAUCUUGAAGAGUAACAUCGACAAUUGACAUAAUUUGUAUGUGUACAUAUCAGGGUUUUUUCCUGUGUUCAAAAUCAUUGAGAAGCCCUUGUUGCUGUCUCUCUUGUUUCCGUUCAAAAUUUUAUUUUGAAUGUGGUUUACAACAAUUAAAUGUCAUCAUGUAUUCUUUAAACUCGAAGUUUUUAUUUAGGUAAGUAAUUUCCUAAAAAUACUUCACUGAUUUUUCUUUCUUCGUCUUUUUUUAAUCAAGAGAAGUUGCAAACCUUUUUGUAGUUUCAACGAAUUAUUAGAAGCAGCCGUGCAGAAUGGCUUAGAGUCAAACGCUGAACCAAAUAGGUGCUAGACACUAAGAAGCUCGCUGUCACAGCUUAUUCCAGCUCCAAACCAAUUUUGGCUGAUGGUGUGUCAACUGAAAAUUCUAGUUUGGACGACUACAAGAACUGCUUGGUCAUGAAGUUUUCAGUCAGAUUCAUGAGACACGAUAUCAUUGCCAGUGAUGUAGCCAAAAAAAAAAGGACAAACGCCAUUUUCAUGGUUUUUAGAAAUUUGUUAAUCCAUCCGCACAAGGGAAAUUUUUACCAUGGACACAUGAAACAUUUCUGACUAUGCCUCAGAUUACUGAUGUUCUUUCCCAAAUAAAGAGCAGAAAUUCAUACGAUGUUUUUCAAGCCAUCACCCUAGUAGCAAUAAAAGUCCCAGAACUUUUGAAAAACUUGUUAAUUUGAAAAGAUACCUAGGUAAGUCAGAAAGACUGUGCGACAUAUCACGAAGAAAAGAACUCUAUAGUUUAGGUAUAUUUUCGUUAGUCAAAUUUAAC
rnacentral:lncRNA from 1 species